rnacentral:lncRNA from 10 species
AAAUCUCUUGAACUAUCUAGAGAAUAAAUUUCAGAACUGUAUCCUUAUUUAAUAAUUACUAAAAUCUGGCUCUAGCCUUCCAAUCAAGUACUAUUUUGCACUCCUCCUUGUUUCUUCAGCCAAACUGCUCUUGCUACCCAAUAAAUAAGAAGGGCUAUAGAAAGCUCAGGGUUGCUGCCUUUGCUCACUAGAAGCUGGGAGCUCUCUUCUUCUUCCUCUGACCCCUGCCUUUAAAACAGUUUUGCUUUUUUAUGACAUUUUGGAAAAGGCAAAACUAUGGAGACAGCAAAAGGGUCAGAUGUUGUUCGGAAUCAGGAGGUAGAAUGAAUAGGCAGAGCACAGAGGAUUUUUAGGGCAGUGAAACUACUCAAUGUGAUAGUACUAUAACGAAGGGCUUGGGUUUACUAUCUGGUUUGCAUGGUUUUGUUGGAUCAUUAGCUGUUGUCAUGUAGAUAAGAGGCUCACAUGUCAUUACACAUUUGUCCAAAUCCA